CUGCAACCAAUUAAGCCAACCAAGGCCUUUCCCCAUGGGGGCCUAGUGUGCAAUGCUCACAAACAGCAGCCUCCUUGACAUGGGGCCUGUUGCCGAUCUGGGUUGCCCUAAGAGACCUUGGAGUAAUUU
ensembl:snoRNA Gm26211 predicted gene, 26211